CGGUAAUGUGUAUAUUACAACAGAAGGGAAUCAAAUAGAUUUUUUUUACUCUUCUAUUUUGCCCUGAUUUCAUGAUAAAUAAUAAAUGCUGAGAAAAAAUAUUACUAUAAUUUAUUUUGUAAUUAAAUUAAAAAAAACGAAUCAUUAAUAUAUAUUUAGCGAUUUGGGCUUCUACCACGAUGUGUUUCAUUUCAUCUAAUGGAGGCAGCUUCCUGCUAUAUACACUCCCC
rnacentral:lncRNA from 1 species